rnacentral:rRNA from 1 species
CGGGUGAGUAACGCGUGGAUAACCUGCCUCACACUGGGGGAUAACAGUUAGAAAUGACUGCUAAUACCGCAUAAGUGCACAGUACCGCAUGGUACAGUGUGAAAAACUCCGGUGGUGUGAGAUGGAUCCGCGUCUGAUUAGCCAGUUGGCGGGGUAACGGCCCACCAAAGCGACGAUCAGUAGCCGACCUGAGAGGGUGACCGGCCACAUUGGGACUGAGACACGGCCCAA